rnacentral:rRNA from 1 species
GAGUUUGAUUAUGGCUCAGGAUGAACGCUGGCGGCGUGCUUAACACAUGCAAGUCGAACGAACCUUCGGGUUAGUGGCGGACGGGUGAGUAACGCGUGAGAAUCUGCCCUCAGGAGGGGGACAACAGCUGGAAACGGCUGCUAAUACCCCAUAUGCCGCGAGGUGAAAUGAAUUUCGCCUGAGGAUGAGCUCGCGUCUGAUUAGCUAGUUGGUGUAGGUAAUGGCUCACCAAGGCAUCGAUCAGUAGCUGGUCUGAGAGGAUGAUCAGCCACACUGGGACUGAGACACGGCCCAGACUCCUACGGGAGGCAGCAGUGGGGAAUUUUCCGCAAUGGGCGAAAGCCUGACGGAGCAACGCCGCGUGAGGGAUGAAGGCCUCUGGGCUGUAAACCUCUUUUAUCAAGGAAGAAGAUCUGACGGUACUUGAUGAAUAAGCCACGGCUAAUUCCGUGCCAGCAGCCGCGGUAAUACGGGAGUGGCAAGCGUUAUCCGGAAUUAUUGGGCGUAAAGCGUCCGCAGGCGGCCCUUCAAGUCUGCUGUUAAAAAGUGGAGCUUAACUCCAUCAUGGCAGUGGAAACUGUUGGGCUUGAGUGUGGUAGGGGCAGAGGGAAUUCCCGGUGUAGCGGUGAAAUGCGGAGAUAUCGGGAAGAACACCAGUGGCGAAGGCGCUCUGCUGGGCCAUCACUGACGCUCAUGGACGAAAGCCAGGGGAGCGAAAGGGAUUAGAUACCCCUGUAGUCCUGGCCGUAAACGAUGAACACUAGGUGUCGGGGGAAUCGACCCCCUCGGUGUCGUAGCCAACGCGUUAAGUGUUCCGCCUGGGGAGUACGCACGCAAGUGUGAAACUCAAAGGGAAUUGACGGGGGCCCGCACAAGCGGUGGAGUAUGUGGGUUUAAUUCCGAUGCAACGCGAAGAACCCUUACCAGGGGUUUGACAUCCCUGCGAAUCUCUU